rnacentral:tRNA from 1 species
CAGAAAAUAGUUUAAUUAAAAUACUAGCUUUGGGAGUUGGAGAUGGGAGGAUUUUCUUUUCUGG